ACGGCUAAACCGCGAAUGGCUCAUUAAAUCAGUCGGGGUUCCUUUGGCGACACGGCCCGAUCGCGGGCGUAGCGGAUAACUGUGGCAAAUCCAGAGCUAAUACGUGCACUCGAGCUCCCAUCCCCCGCGUUCGCGCGCGGGGGGCAGGGGCGCUUUUAUUAGUACAAGACCGGUGUCCGCUUCGCGGCGGACUCUCGUCUGGUGAACUCUGGAUAACUUUAUGCCCGACCGCUUCGUCUCUGUACGGCGGCAGGUCAUUCAUGUGUCUGCCCUAUCAAAUGUCGACGGUAGGUCAUACGCCAACCGUGUUGUCGACGGGUAACGGGGAAUCGGGGUUCGAUUCCGGAGAGGGAGCACGAGAAACGGCUACCACAUCCAAGGAAGGCAGCAGGCGCGCAACUUACCCAAUCCCAGCUCGGGGAGGUAGUGACGAGAAAUAACGAUGCGGGACUCGAGUCGGGCCCCGCGGUCGGAAUGAGCGCAGUACAAACGCCUGACGGCGACGACCCAUCGGAGGGCAAGCCUGGUGCCAGCAGCCGCGGUAAUUCCAGCUCCGAUAGCGUAUACUAAAGUUGCUGC
rnacentral:rRNA from 3 species